GUCGAGGGGCAGCGGGGAGUGAGGCUUGCCUUACUUUGCCGGCGACCGGCGCACGGGUGAGUAACACGUAUGCAACCUACCCUUUACAGCGGGAUAACCGGAAGAAAUUUCGCCUAAUACCGCAUAUACUCCUUGGGAGGCAUCUUCCGAGGGGGGAAGAAUUUCGGUGAAGGAUGGGCAUGCGUCGCAUUAGUUAGUUGGCGGUGUAACGGACCACCAAGACGACGAUGCGUAGGGGUUCUGAGAGGAAGGUCCCCCACACUGGUACUGAGACACGGACCAGACUCCUACGGGAGGCAGCAGUGAGGAAUAUUGGUCAAUGGCCGAGAGGCUGAACCAGCCAAGUCGCGUGAGGGAAGAAUGUCCUAUGGAUUGUAAACCUCUUUUGUGCGGGAGCAAUAAUGGUCACGUGUGGCCAGACGAGAGUACCGUACGAAUAAGCAUCGGCUAACUCCGUGCCAGCAGCCGCGGUAAUACGGGGGAUGCAAGCGUUAUCCGGAUUUAUUGGGUUUAAAGGGUGCGUAGGCUGUGAGGUAAGUCAGCGGUGAAAUGCCCCCGCUCAACGGGGUGAAGUGCCAUUGAUACUGCCUUGCUGGAAUGCGGAUGCCGUGGGAGGAAUGUGUGGUGUAGCGGUGAAAUGCAUAGAUAUCACACAGAACACCGAUUGCGAAGGCAUCUCACGAAUCCGCGAUUGACGCUGAUGCACGAAAGCGUGGGUAUCAAACAGGAUUAGAUACCCUGGUAGUCCACGCUGUAAACGAUGAUGACUAACCGUC
rnacentral:rRNA from 1 species